AGAGGCUCCUCGCUGAUGGAUGGCACUGAGAGCAACGCGCGCCCAAUCCGCUCCAGCCCUAACCGCGAGAAAGGGCCUUCGCAGGCAGGGAAAUAAAUAAAUAAACAGCAACAUCAAAGGGAUGUUCAAAAGAAAAACAAAGCCUGCACACGUUCGUUUGCAAACACACACACAAGCGCACAUCGGCUCUCUCGCACACAUCCGGCGAGAGAGAGAAAGGGGAGGCGGAGGGAAAAAUACAAAGGACUGAAAGCAUACACAUAGUUUACUCUCCGAUGACACUCAGCUUGAAGAAAAUCUAGACAAAACAAGGCAGAGUGGCAAAAAUUGGAGUGUUUGAUGGUUUGAUAUUCUCGCUGAAAAGACUCAAAAAUAAAGAUCAGGCCAAAACUGUAUACAGUUUCAGAUUUUCUUUUAAAAACAACAAACACCCAAAAUGGUCUUAUCCUCAGAUUCCGUAUUGGGGAGAGGGCUACCUCUGUCAACAGGACACUUUGUGCACAGUGACCAUCCAUACAACACAUCUAUAUGAAGUACACCAAACAGAAUAAUCCUCAGCUAAACUGCUGCUAAACUUGCAAAAAUAAGUCGAAGAAACUAUAUCAUUUUUUUACACCUGCAAAAAAUGCAAUGCAUCUCUUACUGUGUUGCCAACAACGCAACAUCUCUGUGCUCAUCUUCUUGCACAUAUUUUAUUUAGCUUAUAAGCACAUUCAGCAGAAAAUGGCUCCUUGCUAUACCGAUGAGCCCCAUUGCUAAGAAUGUCUCACGCACUUGAUAAAGUGAAUAUUAGCGUCUUAAGAAAUGUGGUGGUAACUAUUGCCCACUUAUCUUGUGUUACGGCGAGAUUAUCAAAUGAACACACCGGAAGUGCAGGCUGAAAUAUCAUAAUACCAGACCUACCUGUGAGCGGAUAUGUUGAAUAUUUUCCAUUUUUCUUCCCACAAAAAAACACCUUAACCAACAAUAAAAGAAUCCUGCAAACAAGUGAUCUUCGUGUUUUAGUUGUUUUGGGGGUAUUUUUCCUUCACUAGACAGGACGGCUGAAGAGAUACAGGAAAGUCCGGGAGGACAGAGCAGGGGGACAUCAUGCAGUAACGGGCCGAGGUCAGCUUCGAACCCACGGCCGCUGGGACAAGAACUACAGCCUCCGUACAUGGGGCGUGCGCCAUGACCAAUAGGCUGAAUAAAUAAAUACAAACUAAUGGGACUAAGAGCUACAUAUUGUAGAAAGUAUUCAGAAUGGACUAACACGCUGUUUCUUUUGGCCCUUGUAUAAAUUACACAUAAAAACAUUUCCAUUGUUCUCGCCAGUAAAGUCUGCCAUGUGGUUGAAACCAGUGGGGAUCAAGCUACAAACCAUGUCUAUAUAAUCCUCUGCUGGGAUUGUAAAGGAGGACCAUAAGGGCAAAAUGAAGAGAAAGACGAGCCUAUGUGAGGAUCCUUGAAGAGAACCAUGAGGGCUGCAGCCAAAAAAACUCCAGUUGAUGCUGAAGGGGUCUUAAUGAGGUCACACUCAAUCAUUAGGGCAGCUGAAGACGGCAGAGAUCGUCAGUCUUGUGAUCACACACGCUGCUGAUGCUCCCUCGGACUUCCUCCGCAGUCUGACACAUGGAUGUGUGUGGACGAGACAAUCCCCUGCUGUACAGACACCACAUCUGCAUGAGGA